rnacentral:rRNA from 1 species
UGGUCAAGUUAUUAAGGGUGCAGGGCGGAUGCCUUGGCACUAGGAGCCGAUGAAGGACGUGAUAAGCUGCGAUAAGCUUCGGGGAGUUGCACGUAAACUUGAU